rnacentral:rRNA from 1 species
UACAGAGGGUGCGAGCGUUAAUCGGAGUUACUGGGCGUAAAGGGCGCGUAGGCGGGUUAUUAAGUGAGAUGUGAAAUACCUGGGCUUAACCUGGGAAUGGCAUCUUAAACUGAUGAUCUGGAGUACUGUAGAGGGCAGUGGAAUUCCCGGUGUAGCGGUGAAAUGCGCAGAUAUCGGGAAGAACACCCGUGGCGAAGGCGGCUCUCUGGGACGGUACUGACGCUGAGACGCGAAAGCGUGGGGAGCGAACAGG